AAUACGUCCCGGGCCUUGUACACACCGCCCGUCACACCACGAAAGUCGGCAACACCCGAAGCCGGUGGCCUAACCCGUAAGGGAGGAGCCGUCGAAGGUGGGGUCGGUGAUUGGGGUG
rnacentral:rRNA from 1 species